CCUGCUGGGUCCCAGGCAGGGCUACAGGCACUUCCUGGGGUGUUGGGUCCCAAGAUUCAGUGGGCUGUUCACAGUGUUUGGUUUGCAUGAGUCAGUUUAGUCACAAGGUUUAUUAACACAGUCAUUGAGACAUUGCAACUGAAUUCGCUGUCGGGGGCACUCCACUUCCUGUUGUGAGGUGCGGCCACUUCUUCCUUCGCCUUUUACCAUGUCACCCCAAGUCUGUGAGGGAUGCACAUGCAGCAUAAACGGGUUUGGAGUGAAAGGGAAUGAAACAACCUCUAAGCCACUGCUCAGAGACCACUACUUUGAGCUUUUUAUAAAGUAAUGAAGUACAUUUAGUUUUUGUGUUUUUUCCAUUGCUUUCCAGAGAGGGAGGGGGAGGGAGAGAGAGAAACAUUGAUGUGAGAGACACACAUCGACUGGAUUGCCUCCCGCAAGCGCCCCAACUAGGCACGGAGCAAACCUGCAACCCAGGUACAUGCCCUUGACUAGGA